rnacentral:rRNA from 1 species
UUCGGGGUACUCGAGCGGCGAACGGGUGAGUAACACGUGAGUAACCUGCCUCAGGCUUUGGGAUAACCCUCGGAAACGGGGGCUAAUACCGGAUAUGACCUUUCAUCGCAUGGUGGGGGGUGGAAAGUUUUUCGGCCUGGGAUGGGCUCGCGGCCUAUCAGCUUGUUGGUGGGGUGAUGGCCUACCAAGGCGACGACGGGUAGCCGGCCUGAGAGGGCGACCGGCCACACUGGGACUGAGACACGGCCCAGACUCCUACGGGAGGCAGCAGUGGGGAAUAUUGCACAAUGGGCGGAAGCCUGAUGCAGCGACGCCGCGUGAGGGAUGACGGCCUUCGGGUUGUAAACCUCUUUCAGCAGGGACGAAGCGUGAGUGACGGUACCUGCAGAAGAAGCGCCGGCCAACUACGUGCCAGCAGCCGCGGUAAGACGUAGGGCGCGAGCGUUGUCCGGAUUUAUUGGGCGUAAAGAGCUCGUAGGCGGCUUGUCGCGUCGACUGUGAAAACCCACAGCUCAACUGUGGGCUUGCAG